AUCUUGUCCCAGCAUGUGGAGCUGCUAGUCAGGAAGAUCUCCCAGCUUGGAUGCUAAUGCUUCUAUAUUCAUGCUAAGAUGAAACAGACCUCUUCACUAGAGGAAUUGACAUCCAGGCUGUGAAUGUUGUGAUUAACUUGGAUUUCCUCAAGCUGGCAGAAACAUGCCUUCCCUGUAUCGACAGAUCUGUGUGUGCUGAACACCGAAGGGCUUUGUGAAAACCUCCCUCGGCCAAACACGCUGCACGUUCUCUUCUCGGGCGAUUCGGACGUUUGGGCCCGGCGAUCAACCUGAUAACCUAUGAUCAUCGCUUCAACCUGAAGGCCAUCGAGGAGAAGCUAGGAGCUGAGAUCACACCCAUCCCAAGUGCCAUCGACAAGAACCUGUAUGUGGUGGAGUACCACAGGCAGGAUGCGGAGGAGGCGAAGCGGUGAACGGCUGUGCAGGUCAGGAGCCGACUACGGUCGAGGCUUCUGUGAUACCCUCACUGCUUCAGGGAGCAUAGUGCUGGCUUGCUGUGCCAGGUGUUUAAUGGUGUGGCUCAUAAUUAUUCGUCAUAAGUACUGUAACAACUGUGACUACAAGUCAUGUGCACAUGACUGCACCUUGGUUGGAUACUGCGAUGACCAGACACUGUAGUGCAUAACAGCAUAAUCGCUCUAAUAUGUUUUCUAGAAUAUAAAAAAAGGG